rnacentral:rRNA from 1 species
AUUGAACGCUGGCGGCAGGCCUAACACAUGCAAGUCGAGCGGAUGAAGGGAGCUUGCUCCUGGAUUCAGCGGCGGACGGGUGAGUAAUGCCUAGGAAUCUGCCUGUUAGUGGGGGAUAACGUCCGGAAACGGGCGCUAAUACCGCAUACGUCCUGAGGGAGAAAGUGGGGGAUCUUCGGACCUCACGCUAUCAGAUGAGCCUAGGUCGGAUUAGCUAGUUGGUGGGGUAAAGGCCUACCAAGGCGACGAUCCGUAACUGGUCUGAGAGGAUGAUCAGUCACACUGAAACUGAGAGACGGUACAGACUCCUAGGGGAGGCAGAAGUGGGGAAUAUUGGAAAAUGGGCGAAAGACUGCUCCAGCCAUGCAGGGUGUGUGCAGAAGGUCUUCGGAUUGUAAAGCACUUUAAGUUGGGAGGACGGGCAGUACGUUAAUACCUUGCUGUUUUGACGUUACCAACAGAAUAAGCACCGGCUAACUUCGUG